rnacentral:lncRNA from 1 species
GUUACUGUACGCUCGCGUAAUGUGCGCGUCCAUUGCGUCUUAUGACGUCAUCCCCAAAGUAGGUCAAAUCAGCGCGAACCGAGGAAAAAUGUAAACAAAAGUUGUCACAUGUUUGUCAACAUACCCAAUCAAAAAUGACUAAACCAGACGUUAACCAAAAACAUAAUCCUGAAAUGCAUAUUCAUGUUUCCAUUUAUAUAGUAACAAUCAUUACCAAUCGCACCUAUUUUUUUAAUAGUACCUCUUUGAUUAGAUACCUUAUUUUGCAUAAAAAUUGUUGAAUAAUAUUUAAAUUUUUGAACCUUCCAAAAAUAUGUGUUUUAAAAAAAAAACAUAAUUUUUACCACUUUGAGCUUUUGCAUAGUGGGGAACGAGGACCUAAACUUGUCGUCGAUUUCAAUUUUUAUCAUCCUACCUUUUUUUGAACAACUGGACUUCUCCUUGAUUUGGUGCUACUUUUAGAUACUGAGUAGAGGUCCAAGUGCCAAGACAUCUGCUACAGUAAAGCCUUGACGGGAUUAGAGCUACAGGACUUGAGCAAGGAUCUCCAAUGGAAAUGCAUGUACGGUACAGAUCUCUUGAAAUGUUGUUGAGCUGGCAGUGAACCGAUUCACCUCCUUGCUCACCCAUCAUCCCAAGGCUUGCUCCCCAGUCUCUGAACCAGGGGAUGACAUGAAACUGCAACAGAUGCUGUUUGGGGGUCACACUCUCUGUGGGGAAGUUCUGACGGUAGAACGACAUGUACUCUUUGAUGUCUCUGUCUGUUGCUGACCUAUAUGAUCAUGAUUUCUUGGACUCUUACCCAGCUUGUCGAUGACUGAGUCGUCCAGGAAUGUACCGGUGUUGAUACCUCGGUGGCAUGCCCCAAACAGCUUCAGCAACGUGUUGUAUUUGGUGGCUAUCUGUUCUGCCUCCUGGAUGAGGUCCUGGUCGUUGGGGCAGAGUGACUGUACCGUCUUUGCUAUUGUAGCAGUGAUAACAUCAGUGUUCUCGGGCUGUUGGAGCAAGCCAUUUCCAGGAUGAGGGUGGGUGGUUCAGCUUCCGGGUAAAGUAGUGCAACCAUCAUGUGCUGUUCCAUGAGGUCGUGAACUUCUUCCUCAGCUAGCUUCACUCUGGUCUGGAGAUUCAGCUUCUUCAGCUGCUGUUUGAAGGCCUCCUUUGCUUCUAGUUGGUCUGUAGGAGUUCUUGCCAAGGAGUGGCCAAUCUUUAGGUCCAGGGUGUGACAUGCUUGGCAGAGUGAAUUGAAGUGCUUCAGGAAGACCCCUAGGGAGAUGUGGAGCCCAGGAGGACAGACCUGAUAAAUAGGAGAAAAGGGCUUAUAAUAUCAGAGAAUUAGAAAUCACACCUCCAUGACAUGGACUCCAAGUCAGCAAUCUGACAUCUGAUAGUCUCCAGAGAGACAUCGAGGUUGAAGGUAGAGUCGGAGCCAGGGAACAACAUGAUGACUCGGGUGUUGUGGAGGCUAUUGGGUCUGUUAACGUUGGCCACCUGUAUCAUCAUUUUGAAUGUUCCUCCCCCUUUGUCUCCUCCCACUUUCAGCCAGAUUUCGCCUUCAGGGAUGUGGUCCUCAUGCCAGGUAGAGACAUGAACUCACUGAUCAUACUCCUCUAGCAAGUCUUGGACAAGGGCACUGAGGCUGUUAACUGCGACUACUGGGGUCUCCUUGAUUUCUAUUGCGGUGUCGCUUGAACCCUGUUGAAGAGGCAACCACUCCCCGGUGAUGUUAUCCUUGAUGGCAUGGUCUUGCAGUUUCCUCACCUCCUUCUCAUUACCUGUUGAGAUUCUACGAUCCUUUAGCCAGCUGUUAAGAAAUAUAUUAGGUAUUGUAAUGUAUUUUUAUUGUAUCUAAUUACUUGAGCUAGAAAUGAGGUGUAAUUCCUGGGGUUGGGGUACUCAUCUUAUGAGGUGUAACUCUAAAGGGUCACUUU